rnacentral:rRNA from 1 species
UACAGAGGUGGCAAGCGUUGUUCGGAAUUACUGGGCGUAAAGGGCGCGUAGGCGGUCCCGUAAGUUCCGCGUGAAAUCCCCCGGCUCAACCGGGGAAUGGCGCGGAAAACUGCGGGGCUUGAGUUCGGGAGAGGGAAGCGGAAUUCCGGGUGUAGCGGUGAAAUGCGUAGAUAUCCGGAGGAACACCGGUGGCGAAGGCGGCUCCUGGACCGACACUGACGCUGAGGCGCGAAGCUAG